GAUAACAAAAAGCUGCGUGUGUAAGUGAGACAUCCAACAAAGCUGCCACUGUGCCACCAAGUCUUAUUUUUAUACACGUUAAAUCAGUUAACCACAUAUACUGUGUACCCAGUAGAGGGCCUCACGUGACUAUUCAUUACCAGAGGACGAAUGUCCUUCUACAACCACGCUGUGAGCCCAGGUUCCAGCUGGGAAGAGGACAUCCAAGGAAGAGGUUCCUUUCAUGUGUCAGCCCAGAGCUGCCUACAUGUCUGAGGUGUCUGGAGUCCAGGGCCUGCCUCUUCAGCCUUUAGCCUGGGCCUCCACUGUCAGUCCAGAUGGCACAGGACGGAUGUUGCCCGGAGAUGAGGGCCGGGCUUGGGCAGGGGUAGCUUUGACUGAUCCAGGAGGCAAAGAUGAUAUUGGUCUGGGUGUGCCAGGUAAAUGAGCCUCCUAGUUUAUGAGCUAUCAGUUGGGCAAAGACAACUGCAUAUCAGAUAACACAGUGGACACCCCUUAUCUGCAAGGGCUUAGUUCCAAGACCCCCAAAGGAUGCCUGAAACCUUGGACAGUAACAAACCCCAUAUAUGUUUUUUGAUACAAACAUACCUAUUAUAAAGUUUAUAAGUUAAGCACAGUAACAGAUUAAUAAUAAUUAUUAAUUAAAUCGAAUUAUGAUACUAUACAGUAAUAAGUUUUGUGUAAAUGGUCUCUUUCAAAUAUUUCAUUUCAUGUAAAAUUCUGACCAGGAAUUCUUGCAAGUAAUUGAAAGCAAAGAGAGAAAAACCUGGGAUAAAGAGGAACUACUGUAUUCAAUUCCUGGAAUUUCUAAGUGAAACCAAUGAAGACUGAGACAGGAAAGAGCUUUUAAAGAAAAAUGGCAAGAUGCAAUGUGAGAGCUGACAGAAAGCACAAGACACCAUGGUCACCCCGUAGAUGGCACAGCUCACAGAGCACCCUCAGUGCUGAGAAUGGAGGAGGGAACGCAUCUAGAAUCAAGUCACCAAUUCUCCACGGGUUCUGAAUGCCUGUGGGCCAGGAAACACUGACUGAGAACGAACAUGAGCAGGCAUUGAAAGUCUUCUCCGCUUGUCGAAUCAACCUUGACUAGGGAGCAAUGGGCACAGUUCACAAGGAACUCCAGAGAGCUCCAAAGAAGAGUGGUAGCCUUGCCAGUCACAGACAGGCUGCCUCCAGGAACAGACCAGCCUGAGGGAAACUUGUCUGGCACAGGGAACUUUAAGCCUGGGCACAGACCAACA